rnacentral:rRNA from 1 species
UAGGGAAUCUUCGGCAAUGGGGGCAACCCUGACCGAGCAACGCCGCGUGAGUGAAGAAGGUUUUCGGAUCGUAAAGCUCUGUUGUAAGUCAAGAACGAGUGUGAGAGUGGAAAGUUCAUACGUUGACGGUAUUUAACCAGAAAGUCACGGCUAACUACGUGCCAGCAGCCGCGGUAAUACGUAGGUGGCAAGCGUUAUCCGGAUUUAUUGGGCGUAAAGAGAGUGCAGGCGGUUUUCUAAGUCUGAUGUGAAAGCCUUCGGCUUAACCGGAGAAGUGCAUCGGAAACUGGAUAACUUGAGUGCAGAAGAGGGUAGUGGAACUCCAUGUGUAGCGGUGGAAUGCGUAGAUAUAUGGAAGAACACCAGUGGCGAAGGCGGCUACCUGGUCUGCAACUGACGCUGAGACUCGAAAGCAUGGGUAGCGAACAGGAUUAGAUACCCUGGUAGUCCAUGCCGUAACGAUGAGUGCUAGGUGUUGGAGGGUUUCCGCCCUUCAGUGCCGGAGCUAACGCAUUAAGCACUCCGCCUGGGGAGUACGACCGCAAGGUU